GCAAUAUCACAAACACCUG
rnacentral:misc_RNA from 1 species